rnacentral:tRNA from 1 species
UAGCCCCGUGGUGUAGUGGCCAAGCAUAUCGGACUUUGGAUCCGACGACGGCAGUUCAAAUCUGCCCGGGGCUGU